GCACAACUCAAGCUGUGCAUGGCAUUUGCUUGGGAAUACAUUCUUGGAACGUAAUCUAUAUAACGUAACAUACUGUAUUGCUGCAGAAACCUUGUAUUAGGUUCUUCCCAAUGUUCUGGCAGUCUUUGUCACCUUUUGGGAAGUCAGAGCUGACCCUAGAGCUCUGAGCCUGUCAUUACAGGCUCCCUUUAAGGAUUUAACUAAGAUGUAGUGUGGAUGGGCAUUUUAUAAACUAGAAUCACUGGCUGAAAUUAGCACAGUGAGUAUGAAUCUCUGAUCUAAUUCACAGGGUAAAAAGCAGCAUAUUUAGAGAUGGGAAUAUAGACUGCAUAUUUCACAACCCCAAUGCCAAUAAGUCCUGAAGAACACAGACAUGCUUAUGGGUAUUUGGCUCGGAACAUUAUCAAUGUCCGUAAACUGCCCACUAAAUGGCCAUGUAACUUGCAGCAGCAAAUUUAAAAAAUAGCAAUUCAAACUAAGCUUUUCCCAUCUUGCAAUGGGCCUUACUAUAGGAAAUAAGUGAGGUAUUGACACUCUCCCAGCAGAGAUCCAUGUGUUAGUGACAAUACUGAUCUGUCCCAUAGUUCAGGUGGGAUCCAUUACACAUCCCUGUGCCUUCCUUUCUGCCCAAAGCAUCUUUCUACUCCACGAACUGGUUCUGUUAAACAGAAAAUCUAUCUGUUAAGCUUUUCUAAUAAGGAAUAGGUUGUCUUUCCUUGUUGGAGUAGAG